rnacentral:sRNA from 1 species
GCUGAGUGUGGUGGCGCAGGCCUGUAAUCCCAACAACUCAGGAGGCUGAGGCAGGAGGAUCACAAGUUGAAAGCCAGCCUCAGCAUAUCAGCGAGGCACUGAACAACUUAGCGAGAGCCUGUCUCAA